rnacentral:rRNA from 1 species
CGUGGCACACGGCUCAGUAACACGUAGUCAACAUAACCAAAGGACGUGGAUAAACUCGGGAAACUGAGGCUAAACCGCGAUAGACCAAGAUACCUGGAAUGGUUUUUGAUCAAAAUCUAUAUGGCCUUUGGAUUGGACUGCGACCGAUCAGGCUGUUGGUGAGGUAAUGGCCCACCAAACCAGUAACCGGUACGGGCUCUGAGAGGAGGAGCCCGGAGAUGGGUACUGAGAAAAGGACCCAGGCCCUAUGGGGCGCAGCAGGCGCGAAACCUCUGCAAUAGGCGAAAGCUUGACAGGGUUACUCUGAGUGAUGCCCGCUAAGGGCAUCUUUUGGCACCUCUAAAAAUGGUGCAGAAUAAGGGGUGGGCAAGUCUGGUGUCAGCCGCCGCGGUAAUACCAGCACCCCGAGUGGUCGGGACGAUUAUUGGGCCUAAAGCAUCCGUAGCUUGUUCUGCAAGUCCUCCGUUAAAUCCACCUGCUCAACAGAUGGGCCGCGGAGGAUACUACAGGGCUAGGAGGCGGGAGAGGCAAGCGGUACUCAGUGGGUAGGGGUAAAAUCCUCUGAUCCACUGAAGACCACCAGUGGCGAAGGCGGCUUGCCAGAACGCGCUCGACGGUGAGGGAUGAAAGCUGGGGGAGCAAACCGGAUUAGAUACCCGGGUAGUCCCAGCUGUAAACGAUGCAGACUCGGUGAUGGACUAGCUUAAUGCU